AUUAGGCAUGCAAGUCGUACGCGAAAGAGGGGGCAACCCCUCGAGUAGAGUGGCGAACGGGUGAGUAACGCGUGAAGAACCUGCCUUCGACAGGGGGAUAACACUCCCAACGGGGUGCUAAUACCGCAUGAGACCACGGGAUCGCAUGGUCCUGAGGUCAAAGGUGGCCUCUAUUUAUAAGCUACCGGUCGAAGAUGGCUUCGCGUCCCAUUAGCUAGUUGGCGGGGUAAUGGCCCACCAAGGCGACGAUGGGUAGCUGGUCUGAGAGGAUGGUCAGCCACACUGGGACUGAGAUACGGCCCAGACUCCUACGGGAGGCAGCAGUCGAGAGGCUUCGGCAAUGGGGGAAACCCUGACCGAGCGACGCCGCGUGGGGGAUGAAGGCCUUUGGGUUGUAAACCCCUUUUGUUCGGGAAGAAGUGCGAUCAGGUGAACAAUCUGGUCGUUUGACGGUACCGGACUAAUAAGCUCCGGCUAACUCCGUGCCAGCAGCCGCGGUAACACGGGGGGAGCAAGCGUUGUUCGGAAUCACUGGGCGUAAAGGGCGUGUAGGCGGUGUGGUAAGUGAGAUGUGAAAUCCCUCGGCUCACCCGAGGAUCUGCAUCUCAUACUGCUACGCUUGAGUACGGGAGAGGAUGAGGGAAUUCCUGGUGUAGCGGUGAAAUGCGUAGAUAUCAGGAGGAACACCGGUGGCGAAAGCGCUCAUCUGGCCCGAUACUGACGCUGAGGCGCGAAAGCUAGGGGAGCAAACGGGAUUAGAUACCCCGGUAGUCCUAGCCGUAAACGGUGAUCACUAGGUGUUGGGGGCAUUGACCCCUCCAGUGCCGCAGCUAACGCAAUAAGUGAUCCGCCUGGGGAGUA
rnacentral:rRNA from 1 species